rnacentral:rRNA from 1 species
AGGGCUGCCUAGGCCGCGAGGCCAUGCUAAUCCCUAAAAGCCAUCUCAGUUCGGAUUGCACUCUGCAACUCGGGUGCAUG